rnacentral:rRNA from 1 species
UACGAAGGGGCUAGCGUUGCUCGGAAUCACUGGGCGUAAAGGGUGCGUAGGCGGGUCUUUAAGUCAGGGUGAAUCCUGGAGCUCAACUCCAGAACUGCCUUGAUACUGAAGAUCUUGAGUUCGGAGAGGUGAGUGGAACUGCGAGUGUAGAGGUGAAAUUCGUAGAUAUUCGCAAGAACACCAGUGGCGAAGGCGGCUCACUGGCCCGAUACUGACGCUGAGGCACGAAGCGUGGGAGCAACAGG